CUGAUGCAGCCACGCCGCGUGAGAUGAAGAAGGCCUUCGGAUCUGUAAAGCUCUUUCGGUCGGAGAGGAAAGGAGAUAGUGUUUAUACGUUUGCCUCCCUUGACGUUACCCGCACAAAAAGCCCCGGCUAACUCCGUGCCAGCAGCCGCGGUAAUACGGAGGGGGCAAGCGUUGACCGGAUUUACUGGGCGUAAAGCGCACGCAGGCGGUUUGUUAAGUCAUGAUGUGAAAUCCCCGGGCUCAACCUGGGAGCUGCAUCGGAUACUGGCAAACUUGAGUCUCGAAGAGGAGAGUAGAAUUCCAUGUGUAGCGGUGAAAUGCGUAGAGAUCUGGAGGAAUACCGGUGGCGAAGGCGGCUCCCUGGACUAAGACUGACGCUCAGGUGCGAAAGCGUGGGGAGCAAACAGGAUUAGAUACCCUGGUAGUCCACGCCGUAAACGAUGACUGCUUGGAGGUUGAGCCCUUCAGGCCUGCCUUCCGGAACUAACGCGUUUAGUCGAUCGCCUGGGGAGUACCGACGGCAAGGUUAAACUCCAAUGAAUUGGCGGGGGCCCGCCCAAGCGGUGGAACAUGGGGUUUAUUCCAUGCCACCCCAAAAACCUUUCCUGGUCCUGGCAUUCCUUUGACUUUUCAGAGAUGGAUUGUUGCCCUCCGGAGAUGUGAGACAGGUGCUGCAUGGCUUGUCGUCAGCUCGUGUUGUGAAGUGUUGGGUUAAGUCCCGCCACCGAGCGGCACCCUUAUUCUUUGUUGCCAUCGUCCAGUCGGCACUCUAACGAGACUGCCAGUGAUAAACUGGACGAAGGUGGGGAUGACGUCAAGUCAUCAUG
rnacentral:rRNA from 1 species